rnacentral:lncRNA from 1 species
GGUGCCCCCUGUAUACAGGUGUUGGAUGAUUUUGGCACUCAUUGGAACUACUAUGUUGCCAUGGAAACUACACCAAAAAUUUCAAAAAUCUCAAAAUGCUCCAAACUUCAUGAAACUUCACAGUAACGAUGAGCAACAUUGGAAGACGUGGCAUUUGGAGUUGGAAUUUCCAAAAUGUCUGUUGUUACCAUGGAAACAAUGCAAAAAGGUCAAAAAAUUGAAAAAUAAAUAAAAAUCCUGCAAACUAGAUGAAACUUAACAGAAAUGGUCACUGGCAUAAGCAGAGUUGACUUUUGA